rnacentral:rRNA from 1 species
UACGUAGGGUGCAAGCGUUGUCCGGAAUUAUUGGGCGUAAAGAGCUCGUAGGCGGCUUGUCGCGUCGGCUGUGAAAACCCGGGGCUCAACCCCGGGCCUGCAGCCGAUACGGGCAAACUAGAAUUCGGUAGGGGAGACUGGAAUUCCUGGUGUAGCGGUGAAAUGCGCAGAUAUCAGGAGGAACACCGGUGGCGAAGGCGGGUCUCUGGGCCGAUAUUGACGCUGAGGAGCGAAAGCGUGGGGAGCGAACAGG